rnacentral:rRNA from 1 species
UACGUAGGGGCCAAGCGUUGUCCGGAAUUACUGGGCGUAAAGGGCGUGUAGGCGGUCUGGUAAGUCAGGUGUUAAAUCCACGGGCUCAACCCGUGGCUGCAUUUGAUACUGCCAAACUAGAGAGUGCUAGAGGAAAGCGGAACUUCCGGUGUAGCGGUGAAAUGCGUAGAUAUCGGAAGGAACACCAGUGGCGAAGGCGGCUUUCUGGGGCACUUCUGACGCUGAGACGCGAAAGCCAGGGGAGCAAACGGG